CCAUCACCAUCAUCCACUGAACAAUACGUAGCAAGACCGAAUGGCAGACUUCACACCUCUGUCCAAGCAGCUACCUUUCGCCUUCGGCAGGAUGCAGGUGCUGCCUGCCUUUCUCUUUUCACACAGGAAUAAACAUCCGCCCUCUAAGGAAACCACCGCAUAAAAGGGCACGUGCGUAAGACGAAGGGAGAGAGACACAGCAGACAGGCCAAGACCACUCACGCCCGUGCUUCCCUCCUGACGAAAUCGCUGACGAUAUCUUCCCGCACUCUACGCCGCCACACUCGCCAAUCCGGCUCGUCUACCUCGCCAAGUCUUCACGAACCCUCGUCAGCACAACCUUGGAGUCGCCAUUCUACUCAGCACCACCAAUACUUCCUAGCUACUAUUAAAACUUCUGAAGAUGAUUGACUCUCCCCGCUUCUGAAUGUUGCACCUCAGUGCGAAACCUCCACCACACCCACUACCCUGGCACGCGACAACGCUAGCGACCAUCGGAUCACCAGGAACCAUCUGUAGAUAGCAAACAGAACCUGUAUCCCUAUGUGCAGUGUUUCAAGCGUUGCAGACGGCUCUAAGACGAGCUUCACACAUGGCCGAGCGAUGUGAACAAUAUGUAGCAAGACCGGAUGGCAGACUUCACACCUCCGUCCAAGCAGCUACCCUACUCCUUGGGCAGGACACAGGUCCUGCCUGCCUGUCUCUUUUCGUAGAGAAAUAAACAUCCGCCCUCCAAGGAAACCGGCGCAUAAAAGGGCACGUGCGUAAGACGAAGGGAAAGAGACAUGGCAGAUAGGCCAAGACCACUCACACCCGUGCUUCCCUCCUGACGAAUUCGCUGACGAUAUCUUCCUGCACUCUACGCCGCCACACUCGCCAAUCCGGCUCGUCUACCUCGCCAAGUCUUCACGAACCCUCGUCAGCACAACCUUGGAGUCGCCAUUCUACUCAGCACCACCAAUACUUCCUAGCUACUAUUAAAACUUCUGAAGAUAAUUGACUCUCCCCGCUUCUGAAUGUUGCACCUCAGUGCGAAACCUCCGCCACACCCACUACCCUGGCACGCAACAACUCUAGCGACCAUCGGAUCACCAGGAACCAUCUGUAGAUAGCAAACAGAACCUGUAUCCCUAUGUGCAGUGUUUCAAGCGUUGCAGACGGCUCUAAGACGAGCUUCACACAUGGCCGAGCGAUGUGAACAAUAUGUAGCAAGACCGGAUGGCAGACUUCACACCUCCGUCCAAGCAGCUGCCCUACUCCUUGGGCAGGACACAGGUACUGCCUGCCUGUCUCUUUUCGUAGAGAAAUAAACAUCCGCUCUCCAAGGAAACCGGCGCAUAAAAGGGCACGUGCGUAAGACGAAGGGAAAGAGACACGGCAGAUAGGCCAAGACCACUCACACCCGUGCUUCCCUCCUGACGAAAUCGCUGACGAUAUCUUCCCGCACUCU